UAAGGAAUAUUGGACAAUGGUCGCAAGACUGAUCCAGCCAUGCCGCGUGCAGGAAGACGGCCCUAUGGGUUGUAAGCUGCUUUUGUACCAGAGAAAACCUAUCUACGUGUAGAUAGCUGAUAGUAUGGUAAGAAUAAGCAUCGGCUAACUUCGUGCCAGCAGCCGCGGUAAGACGAAGGAUGCAAGCGUUAUCCGGAUUCAUUGGGUUUAAAGGGUGCGUAGGCGGGCUUGUAAGUCAGUGGUGAAAUCUCCGAGCUUAACUUGGAAACUGCCGUUGAUACUAUAGGUCUUGAAUUAUCUGGAGGUUAGCGGAAUAUGUCAUGUAGCGGUGAAAUGCUUAGAUAUGACAUAGAACACCAAUUGCGAAGGCAGCUUACUACAUAUAAAUUGACGCUGAGGCACGAAAGCGUGGGGAUCAAACA
rnacentral:rRNA from 1 species